CAAUAACAUGAAUAUAGCUUCCAAGGAACUUGUGGAGAAGCUAAAUGCGGAGACUGAGAAACAUCCUGGUCUCUAUAUGGUCAUUUGCUUUAUUGACUUAGCCCUCCAAUGAAUUACAAGCGCUUUGUGUCUUUCAAUUGAAGCAAGGGAUACAUUAGUGAACUAUGGCGUGAUGUGCUUUGCAUGGAAGUUUGACAUCCUACUUGGGCCAACCUGCUAUACAAUUGAGAAGCGCUUCACAAGGCAUAGGAGAGGAAAUUCUUCAAAUUGGUUAGGUGUACGAUGACAAUAACUGUUGCACCAAAAGAGUUAUCCAAUGCAGCAAGAAGGUCAAGCUUCAUUAGCAGCUGAUGGCUAUCAAGCCAGGGAAAGUGACAAAGACAAGACAAGACAUUUGCUAGCUCUGACAAAAGCAUGAGACAAGUACUUGAUCUUGGGCACCAACACAUCCCUCCAGCAAGGUUACGAACACUCAAAACAGAGGUUUGAAGCGAGAAUUCCGGGCAAAAAUUAUUAGAUCCAGAUUGAUGGCAAAUCACCCAUAGAUCCAAUUUUAUGGCAAAAAUGCUCCCAAGAAUUCCCCCCAAGGCCUCCGAGUUUGAGGUGGACUCAACAACAUCCAACAGCAGCUUCUAUUAUAUCGUUUGAAUUCAGCUAACGGCAGCCAUCUCGUUGUUUAAGGCUUCCCCAACCAAGUUAAGCCAGACUCCAUGACUGGAUGAUCCGACGACGGCUAGGUCACUAUCUGAUUCUUUCUGAUGGCAACCCUUCUAAUGAUAGCUAGGUCACAAUCAGUAU
rnacentral:lncRNA from 1 species